UACGUAGGUGGCAAGCGUUGUCCGGAUUUACUGGGCGUAAAGCGCGCGUAGGCGGCAGCGUGUGUCGGGCGUGAAAUCCCACGGCUCAACCGUGGAAGUGCACUCGAAACUGCGCAGCUAGAGUCUCGGAGAGGAAGGCGGAAUGCUUGGUGUAGAGGUGAAAUUCGUAGAUAUCAAGCGGAACACCGGUGGCGAAGGCGGCCUUCUGGACGAUGACUGACGCUGAAGUGCGAAAGCGUGGGGAGCAAACAGG
rnacentral:rRNA from 1 species